AGAGGCAUAGCUCAAGGGCAGAGCCUCCGCUUGAUAAGCGGAAGACGGCGGUUCAACUCCGCCUGCCUCUACCA
rnacentral:tRNA from 1 species